rnacentral:rRNA from 1 species
ACGCUCGACACCUACGGAGGCAGCAGUUAGGAAUAUUGGGCAAUGGAGGAAACUCUGACCCAGCAACGCCGCGUGAAGGAAGAAGGUUUUCGGAUUGUAAACUUCUGAUCUAGGGGAAGAAGGAAGUGACGGUACCCUAGGAGAAAGCCACGGCUAACUACGUGACAGCAGCCGCGGUAAUCUGAGCGGGCUGGCAAGGC